UUUACAAUACAAGAUUAAAAAACAGACUUUAAAAGGGGAAAUCUUUGCCAAGAUUAAAACAAAAAGAAGGGUAAAUCUGAGUUGGCGUGUGGGAAAAGGAAAUCGUUUUAGUGGAAACACUGCCCACGGCUGACUUCACUCCCCCCUCUUCCCCUCAACAAUGGACGGUUCGGUCGGUUGUGGUCGGAGGUUGGAAAGUGGAAAAGAUCCUUGUGACUGUUAGAAUUUUACUUAAUAUCUUAUCUACAAUUUUCGAUAGCAAAUAUUAUAUCAGCACACCUCAAUCAUGGGGUUGUUGGGGGCGCGUGAGGGGUGUUCUGCCGCGUGCUCGCUGCCGGCGCAGAGAGCUGGCGGGCACACGCGUGCGAGUGCCGCGCCGAGCUGUGCGAGCGAGCUCCCGCUGAGUGACGUGGCGCGCGAUGCGUUUCUGACGGGUUGUGCUGCCGCGCGCUGCCUGCAGGCGAGCACUGCCCUGCUGCCUCGCUCCGAGUGACGAGUGCCUCGCGCCCUGUGCCUCGCUCCGAGUGCCUCGCGCCCUGUGCCUGGCUCCGAGUGCCUCGCGCCCCGUGCCUCGCUCCGAGUGCCUCGAGCCCUGUGCCUCGCGCCGUGUCUUCGCCUCGCGUGUCUCGCGGCGUAUUAUGUAUUUCCACCAGGAUUUCUUCUUCCAGUGAGACGCUACAUUACACUAUUAUAGCUAAGUGCUAAAUGAUUAUUAUUAACAAACUUGUUUUAUGAUGUUGCGGUUAAACAAUAUUGAGCACGUAUGACAAAAACUUAACAAAUGAGCUUAUUAUGUAGAAGGAUUGAUGUACCUAAACCUUUUGUAUGUUUAUCAACCUACAUUGUUUAAAUAAUGAUUGAUUUGCUUAUAACAAGUAAUGAGGCAGGAGAAGUCGGACGGUAAGGCGACCAGCUCGUAUGCGAGUAUCUCAAUUCUUACAGGAAACACUUUCACUUAUGUUUGCAAUACUCGCGGCCGUCCUGACAGUUGUCUACAUCGGAGAGUUUUGUGUCACCGCUAAUGUUGCACUUUGCGCAUGAUUUUUUCUUUUUAACAAUUUUCAAUCAUUUGCCAGUCGUUAGGGGCUACCAUUGUAAUCGUUAUAGGUUGUUGUGGCGCGGCUCCCGCUGGCCCCAUUUUCGUGUCAACGGUUCUGUUACAUGACGAACACGGGUAGACGCCUUCCUCCCGUCUCGAGAGAGACGGAGAUUGAGCGUUCGGGCUUAAAGA